rnacentral:rRNA from 1 species
GACCUGCGGAGGAUCAUUACCGAGUGAGGGCCCUCUGGGUCCAACCUCCCACCCAUGUUUAUUGUACCUUGUUGCUUCGGCGGGCCCGCCUCACGGCCGCCGGGGGGCUUCUGCCCUCUGGCCCGCGCCCGCCGAAGACACCAUUGAACACUGUCUGAAGAUUGCAGUCUGAGCAAUUAGCUAAAUAAGUUAAAACUUUCAACAACGGAUCUCUUGGUUCCGGCAUCGAUGAAGAACGCAGCGAAAUGCGAUACGUAAUGUGAAUUGCAGAAUUCAGUGAAUCAUCGAGUCUUUGAACGCACAUUGCGCCCCUUGGUAUUCCGGGGGGCAUGCCUGUCCGAGCGUCAUUGCUGCCCUCAAGCACGGCUUGUGUGUUGGGCCCCGUCCUCCUUCCCGGGGGACGGGCCCGAAAGGCAGCGGCGGCACCGCGUCCGGUCCUCGAGCGUAUGGGGCUUUGUCACCCGCUCUUGUAGGCCCGGCCGGCGCUUGCCGACAACCAUCAAUCUUUUUUCAGGUUGACCUCGGAUCAGGUAGGGAUACCCGCUGAACUUAAGCAUAUCAAUAAGCGGAGGAAAAGAAACCAACAGGGAUUGCCUCAGUAACGGCGAGUGAAGCGGCAAGAGCUCAAAUUUGAAAGCUGGCCCCCUCGGGGUCCGCAUUGUAAUUUGCAGAGGAUGCUUCGGGAGUGGCCCCCAUCUAAGUGCUCUGGAACGGGCCGUCAUAGAGGG